UGGGGGAUAUUGCACAAUGGGCGAAAGCCUGAUGAAGCGACGCCGCGUGGGGGAUGAAGGCCUUCGGGUUGUAAACUUCUUUUGCUCUGAACAAGGCAUGCCUUUGGGGUGUGUUGAGUGUAGGGGUUGAUUAGCGCCGGCUAACUACGUGCCAGCAGCCGCGGUAAUACGUAGGGCGCGAGCGUUGUCCGGAAUUAUUGGGCGUAAAGGGCUUGUAGGUGGCUGGUUGCGUCUGUCGUGAAAGCUCAUGGCUUAACUGUGGGUUUGCGGUGGGUACGGGCUGGCUUGAGUGCAGUAGGGGAGGCUGGAAUUCCUGGUGUAGCGGUGGAAUGCGCAGAUAUCAGGAGGAAUACCGGUGGCGAAGGCGGGUCUCUGGGCUGUUACUGACGCUGAGGAGCGAAAGCGUGGGGAGCGAACAGG
rnacentral:rRNA from 1 species